CUGAGGGGCAGGAGGUGGAGUGUCAUGGAAGAGUCUUUACUUCAGGGACCUGGGGGGUCCUAAGGUCUAUGGCCCCCACAGUGGCCUGGGAGCAGGCUAUGAUGGGGGCGUGAAGCCACAGAAGCCAGGAUUCGUGGUCAGGCAUGGGCUGGGAACCCAGCCAGGGUUCAGGACCUUCGCAGGUGCUGCAGCCCAGCCAGGAUAUGGAAACGGGCUGGGAGCAGCGGCCUUCCCAGUGGCCGGAGCCCAGUCAGGUCCUGCCGCUCAAAAUGGCUUUGGACCAGGCUUUGGAGGGGGUGGAAAACCCCAGAAG
rnacentral:lncRNA from 1 species